GAGGGGGCCACGCCCACUCAGCGCUUGUGCUCCCGCCCCGACUGUUACUUAGCGCUCGAGGGGUGGGGCUGUCUGGAAAAUUGUCCAAUUAGAGGUUUGGGGGGUGGAGCCGCGGACACUGUCCAAUGAGAAGCUUCAGUGGUGUGUAGGUGGUGCGACGCUUUGCAAUCCUCUUCGUGCGUAAUAUUUCUGCGCCGCAGCUGGGAGAUGUGUCUUACCUGCUCCUCGUGUUGCUUGUCUUCACGGAGAGGACCCUGGAAGGUCUGCAGAAACCGGCCCUGGUCAUGCUGUUACCUUUUUGCCUUAUGGAGUUGACUCUGUUUCUCCGCUGCCUAACUCCAGUCGAAGUAGCAGCUCCUUCUUGGUGGCUGAUAUAGGACUCAGUGGUCUUUGACAUGUGCCUGUGAACUUCACGCGGGAAGAGUGGGCUUUACUGAGUGCUUCUCAGAGGAAGCUCUACAAGGAUGUGUUGCUGGAAACCUUCUGGAACUUGGCAUCAGUAGACAGGUGUAUUCAAGUUAAAACCACUGGAUCAAAUCCUCAGCAGAAUAUUUUUGGGAAUGAAGUGUCCAAUGAUGAGAAAUUAAAAGUUUGAUAAGAAAUGAUUCCUUGUCCAAUUUGGAAGAAAAAGGGAAGCUUCAUAACAUUGAAGUACAGCCCCAAAUCCAGAAGGAACAGCUGAGGGAAUAUGUGAGCAGCCUCAAAGGACAGAAAAAUCCCUGCAUGUGAAUUAUGUGGGAAAAUCUUUAUGUAUUACUCUUCCUUUCAACUACAUUUAAGAUAUCACAGUGGCAAGAAACCUUAUGAAUGUGGAAAAUCCUUCAGUUGUUACUCCUGCCUUCAUGGACAUGAGAAAACACACAGUGAACAGAAAACUUAUGAAUGUAAGCAUUGUUCCAAAGUCUUCAGUUGUCCCAAAUACUUUAAAAAAUUUGAAAAUGUAUGUACAGUGGAGGGAAACCCUAUGAAUGUAACCAAUGUGGGAAAGGCUUCAUGGUUCUCUCAUACCUUGAAAGCCAUGUAAGAACACACUAGUGAGAAACUGUUUGAAUGUAAACAAUGUGGGAAAGCUUUCAUUUGGCCCAGCUCCUUCCAGGCACAUAUGAAAAUGCACUCUGAUGAGAAACUCUAUGAACAUAAACAGUGUGGGAAAACCUUUCUGCAUUCCCCCUCCCUUAAAUGACAUUUAAGACGGCACACUGGAGAGAAACCCUAUGAAUGUAAGGAAUGUGAGAAAACCUUCAGUUGUCCCACAUAUUUCUGAGAACAUGUGAGAAUGCACAUGGGAGAGAAACCCUAUGAAUGGAAGCAGUGUGGAAAAGCCUUCACUUGUUACUCUGCCCUUCAUAGAGAUGAGAAAACACACAGCGAACAGAAACUUUAUGAAUGUAAUCAGUAGGGAAAAGGUUUCAGGUGUCCCAAAUACUUUUGACAACACAGGAACAUGCACAGUGGAGAAAAUGUAUGGAAUGUGGGAAUGAAAGGAAUGCGGAAAAAUCUACAGUAUGCCUGCAAACCUUCAACACCAUAUGAAAACGUACAGUGGUGAGAGACCAUGAAUGUAAACAAUGUGGGAAAACCUUCAGAUGGCCUUCCUUCUUAUGAUUUACAUAUGAGAACGCACUCUAGCAAGAAACCCUAUUAUUGUAAGCAAUGUGAGAAAGCCUACAAGUGUCUUCUUAUAUCCCUUCAACAGCAUCUGAGAAAACACACUGGAGAGAAACCAUAUAAAUGUAACCAGUGUGGGAAAGCCUGUAAUUGUUUCACAUACUUUGACCUGCAUAUUUAAAUGCAGAGUGGAGAGACACAGUGUGUAUGUGAGGUGUACAGGAAAGUCUAUAGAUCUUACUCAUGUCUUCCAAAACAUUUGAAUAUGCACUCUGGCAAGAAACCUUAUGAAUGUAAGGAGUGUGGGAAAGCGUACAGGUGUCUCGUAUCCCUUCAGGGAUGUCUGAGAAAACACACUGAGGAGAAACCUUAAGAAUAUAAGGCAUGUUGGAAAGCUGUCUGUAGAAUGGGACUAGUGGUAGCGUCAGUCAGUGCCUGUCUGACUUCACGGGGGAAAAGGACAAUCAGCGUCAGCACAAAGCUGACUCCCAUAAGGUGGAGGUCAGACAUAUAUCCACUCUCCAACCUUUCUACCAAUUCUGACACCAGCCAUCCCUGCCACGGCACUCUAUACUUCUCUGAUCAGUUCAAUAACCCAUGGCAGUAGCCACACAGAAUUCAUAGACCAUAUUUAAGUGGUUUAUUAAGGAACAGGGAACAACUUGGGAUCAGAAUCAACGUGUUAACAACUCAGGAUCAGAAAUAGGAAGCAUGUCUCCCUUCUAAGCUCCUCUUGAUCAUGUAGGCUUCCUCUCAGGCCCCUGAGAACAGGAUCCUCUUGGCCCCCUCAAGACAGGCUCUGCUGCUGGGCCCCUUCCGGGCCUGUUGCCUCUGAAUCUGCUGCCAGGCCCCUUCUGGGCCUCUCGCUGUCUUCAGUGUUACAGCUCUUGACCGGUUUUACAGCUCUUUUAGGAGGUUCCUUGCCUCCUCUGUCUGCUGCAGCUUUCUGCCUCCUACUGCGUCUCUUCUUGCUUCUUUCUGCCCUUUGUGUCUGCUUAACCUCUGUGGGGCUGGCUGCAUAUAUAUACACAACUCUUUGUCAACUUCAAGGUACGGUCUUUCCCACUGGGGGCCCCAAACUGACCAAUUCCAUCUCAGUAGGAUACAAACACUUCAUUUGCCUAGUUUAUUGACCAGUCCCUGCAAGGUGCAUACCAAUCACAGGGCAGGCUGUGGCCCUGUACUAGAUAAAAAGUAACAAAACCAAGUUAUUGACAGCUUACCCAGGAAGUGUCAAUCAACUUGGCAAAAGUAACAAACCCUCUGGGGUAGAAAACUAGGGAAAAGGUAACUCUUUGGUGUUUAGCGGAAAAAUCUCUCAAGCCAUUAUUCCAAGGCAAAAGGCUACAUAAAGGAACUCGUUUCACCACAGCUGUCAUCAUGGGUAAGAUUGGGAGCUGCAUCUCCCAGAGUCUCUUUUGUUUAUGGUUACGGGUUAAAGUUCACAAGAAGAGGAAGGUAUAUGAGUGAAUGUUGGAAGGCAGAAGUGAUGAAGCCAUUCCUCUCUAUUCUGCUGGGCCAUCAGGAGAGAGAGACAGAAGGGGCACAGGGAGAGAGUGGUCAGAGCACCCCUUAAUCUGCUCUGAGCCCCCAUCUGCCCCAGCAGUGAUCUCUGGGGCCCAGCCUCUCCUCUCCCACCCUCAUACUCACCCCACCCCUUGCUGUUCAUCUUUCUCUCCCUUCAUUUCCUUUGUUAAUUGUGAAAUAAACAGAAAAAGAAAUAAAACAUAUGUGCAGUUCGGAUGAAUCAUAAAUCAGGGUCUCCUCCCCUCAAACACUGCUGACAUGGGGGCCGGCUCCUUCUCUGGGGUGGUGCCAUCCUGUGCGUUGGGUGUUGAACAGCAUCCCUGGCCUCUAUCCACUCGUUGCCACUAGCACCUCCUCCCGCUAAUCAUGACAACCACAGAUGCAUCCUGGGAGCAAAGUUGCCCAGGCUCGAGAACCAGCUAUUAAUCAACACCUGGGUACCAAUCGCCCAGGUCGAGAAAUGAACCUCGCCAGCCCCUGUGUAGCCCACUCCAUGAUAACGCCCUCCUCCCCACCUUUGUGGCAACAACUUCUUUGUUUUUCUGUAUAAUUGCACCACCUACGAUUGCCUUCUUAUACCUGCUUAGAUUUCCCUGUUUGGAACUAUUUUAUGGGCUUUCUGUGUAUGUUGUCUGGCUUCUUUCACUUAACAUCCCAUCUUAAAUUUCAUAUUUCGGCGGGGUGUCUCUGGGUGUUGAAAACGGUGUGCAUGAUCACCUGCUACCCAAAAAGUUGGAUGUUUGAGUACACCCAGAGGCACCUUGGAAGAAAGGCCUGGCAGUCUACCUCUGAAGAAUCAGCCAUUGAAAGCCCUAUGGAGAAUAGUUCUGCUAUGACAUAGGGACAUCAUGAGUUGGAGCCACCUUGAUGGCAGCUGGUAAGCUUCAUGCGACACUGAUGGAGAAACAGAUGCACACCAUUGCUGGUGCGAAUGGAAAAUGGCCCAGCCACUGUGGAAAACAUUUUUUCAGAUGGUGCCUGGCUACAAUUGAUGACUGCCCUGACAGGGAAAACAACAGAGAAUCCCUGAUGGAGCAGGAGAACAGUGGGACGCAGACCUCAAAUUCUUGUAAAAAGACCAGACUUAAUGGUCUGACUGAGACUAAAGGAACCCCGGAGGUCAUGGUCCCUGGGCCUUCUGUUAGUCCAAGACUGGAACCAUUCCAAAAACCAACACUUCAGACAGGGAUUGGACUGGACUAUAAGACAGAAAAUGAUACUGAGGUCAUUUAUUCCAAAGGGAGGAAUACUCUCACCUGAAGAUACAUCACUGACUCCAUUGAACUGGAAGUUAAGAAUGCCUCCUGGCCACUUUGGACUCCUUAUACCUCUGGAUCAACAAGAAAAGAAGGGAGUUACAAUAUGGGCUGAGUGAUUGAUCCUGAUUACCAAGAGGAAAUCUGAUUGAUAUUACAUAAAGGAGGUAAAGAAGAGUAUGUCUGGAAUGUAGGAGAUCCCCUAGGGUGUCUCUUAGUAAUAUCAUGCCCUGUAAUUAAAGUUAAUGGAGAACUACAACUACCCACUACUUUUUUGUUGUUGUUGUUAUUGUACUUUAAAAAAAAAAACAAAAACUUUUUUUUUUAUUUUUUAGAUGAAGGUUUAUAGGACAGACUAGUUUCUUAUUAAACAGUGAAUACACACAUUGUUCUAUGACAUUGGUUAACAACCCCAUGACAUGUCAGCACUCUGCCUUCUCAACCCUGGGUUCCCUAUUACUGGCUUUGCUGUUCCCUCCUGCCUUCUAGUCCCUGUCCCGGGCUGGUGUGCCUCUUUAGUCUUGUUUUGUUCCAUGGGUUUGUUCAAUCCUAGGCUGAAUGGUGAACCUCAGGAGUGACCUCAUUACUGAGCUGAAAGGGUGUCCGGGGGCCAUACUCUCAGGGUUUCUCCAGUCUUUGUCAGGCCAGCAAAUCGGGUCUUUCUCCUUGAGUUAGAAUUUUGUUCUACAUUUUCCUCCAGCUCUGUCGGGGACCCUCUAUUGUGAUUCCUGUCAGAGCAGUCAGAGAUGGUGAGCAUUUCCUCCCGCAUGUGUUGGCUGCUUGAAUAUCUUUGGUGAAGUCUCUGUUCAUUUCCUUUGCCCGUUUUUUAAUUGGAUUAUUUGUCUUUUAGUUGUAGAGGUGUUGGAUUCUCUUGUAGAUUUCAGAGAUUAGACCUUUGUCUGAUUUGUAAUAGCCAAUUUUUUCCCCCAGUCUGUAGGUUCUGUUUUGAUGAAGUCUUUUGAUGAGCAUAAGUGUUUAAUUUUUAGAAGAUCCCAGUUAUCUAGCUUAUCCUCUGGAGCUUGUGUGUUGUUGGUUGUAGUUUCUAUCCCGUUAAUGCCGUGUAUUAGGGCCUCUAGUGUUGAUCCUAUUUUUUCUCCUAUGAACUUCAUAGUUUUUGGCUUUAUAUUUAGGUCUUUGAUUCGUUUUGAGUUAGUUUUUGUAUAUCACGUGAGGUAUGGGUCCUGUUUCAUUUUUUUGCCAGUGGAUAUCCAGUUUUGCCAGCACCAUUUGUUAAAAAGACUGUCUUUUCCCCAUUUGAUGGACUUUGGGUCCUUGUCGAAGAUCAGGUGACCAUAGGUGGAUGGAUUUACAUCUGGGUUCUCAAUUUUGUUCCAUUGGUCAAUGUAUCUGCCGUUGUACCAGUAUCAGGCUGUUUUGAGUACAGCAGCUGUAUAGUAGGCCCUGAGGUCAAGUAAUGGGAGUCCUCCUACUUUAUUUUUCUUCUUCAAUAGUGCUUUAUUUAUCUGGGGCUUCUUCCCUUUCCAUAUAAAGUUAAUGAUAAGUUUUUCCAUCUCUUUAAAGAAUGUUGUUGGUAUUUGGAUCAGUAUUUCAUUGUAUUUGUAAAUCGUUUUUGGUAUAAUUGUUAUUUUUACAAUGUUGAGUCUCCCUAUCCAUGAGCUUGGUAUAUUUUUCAAUUUAUGUAGAUCUCUUUUGGUUUCUUGCAGUAGUGUUUUUUAUUUUUCUUUGCAUGGGUCUUUAAAGUUGACUUUACUUUGAGGAGGCAGCCCUUCCCCAGUCAUAUUUUGAAUGACUUCCAAUCUGAAGGGAUCAUCUUCCAGCACUAUAUCAAACAAUUUCCGUUGGUAUUCAUAAGGCUUUUACUGGCCAAUAUUUUUCACAAGUAGACUGCCGGGUCCUUUUUCCUGGUCUUAGUCUGGAACCUUCACUGAAACAUGCCCACCAAAGCUUACCCUGCUGGUAUUUGAAAUACAGGUGGCAAAGCUUCCAUCACAGUAUGACAAACUGACAGAAAUGUAUAAAGAUGAUAGAUAAUAGUUAAUGAUGAUAGAUAAAGAUUGAUAAACAUGAUAGACAGAGAGAUGGAUAUUUUUGUUAGGUAACGUCGAAUUGGUUCUGACUCAGAGCAACGCCAUGUACAACAGAGGAAUGACUACCGGUCCUGUGCCAUCCUUACAAUCAUUGUGUUUGAGCCCAUUGUUGCAGCCACUGUGUCAGUCCAUCUCAUUGAGAGUCUUUCUCUUUUUUGCUGAACUUCUACUUUACCAAAUAUGAUGUCCUUCUCCAGGGACUGAUCUCUCCUGAUAACAUGUCCAAAGUAUGUGAGACAAAAUCUUGCCAUCUUUGCUUCUAAGGAGCAUUCUGGCUGUACUUCUUCCAAGACAGAUUUGUUUGUUCUUCCGGCGGUCCGUGGUAUAUUCAAUAUUCUUCACCAACACCGUGAUUCAAAGGCAUCAAUUUUUCUUGGUCUUCCUUACUCAUUGUCCAGCUUUGCCAUGCAUAUAGGGGAGCGAUAUAGAUAGAUACAGAGAGGUAGAGUGACAUAGAAAUAGAGGAAGAGAUCUCUGCGUACCUACCUAGCUGCCUAUCUAUGUCCUUCCCUCCCUCCCUCAGUCCUAUGUCUUGGCUUAACCCGAUAACCCCUAUUUUCUGCUUAUCUUGACUUACACAUGUUUCCAUACAGUCAUUUAACUAAAAAUUUAUGGCCUUCUGUAAGCAACAUCCCAUUCCUCAUGGUAGGGAAAAAGGAACAGCUGUUCUCCAUAGUAGAAUUACAGUUAAUAAAUGUAGAAGGAAUGAUAAAGUACUCAUUAGGCAAAUCCCACAGUAAUCACCGUUGUAGGCAAAAAUCACCAAUGUUUGCUACAAUUACUGGUGAGCAACAGGGUAUUUUCAUAGACUGAAAGUGUCUCCCUAUUGUUGUUAGGUGCUGUUGAGUUGGUUCCGACUCAUAGCGACCCUAUGCACAACAGAACAAAACACUGCCUGGUCCAGAGCCAUCCUUACAAUCAUUGUUAUGCUUGAGCUCAUUGUUGCAGCCACUGUGUCAAUCCACCUCGUUGAGGGCCUUCCUCUUUUCCACUGACCCUGUACUCUGCCAAGCAUGAUGUCCUUCUCCUGGGACUGAUCCCUCCUGGCAACACGUCCAAAGUAUGUAAGAUGCAGUCUCGCCAUCCUUGCUUCUAAGGGGCAUUCUGUGUACUUCUUCUAAGACAGAUUUGUUCGUUCUUUUGGCAGUCCAUGGUAUAUUCAAUAUUCUUCACCAACACCACAAUUCAAAAGCAUCAAUUCUUCAGUCUUCCUUAUUCAUUGCCCAGCUUUCACACACAUAUGAUACGACUGAAAAUACCACGGCUUGGGUCAAACGUACCUUAGUCUUCAUGGUGACAUCUUUAUUUUUCAGCAGUUUAAAAAAGUCCUUUGUAGUAGAUUUACCCAAUGCGAUGCAUCGUUUGAUUUCUUGACUGCUGCUUCCAUGGCUGUUGAUUGUGGAUCCAAGUGAAAAGAAGUCCUUGACAACUUCAAUCUUUUCUCCAUUUAUCAUGAUGUUGCUCACUGGUCCAGUUGUGAGGAUUUUUAUUUUCUUUAUGUUGAGGUGCAAUCCAUACUGAAGGGUGUGGCCUUUGGUCUUCCUUAGUAAGUGCUUCAAGUCCUCUUCACUUUCAGCAAUCAAGGUUGUGUUAUCUUCGUAACGCAGGUUGUUAAUGAGUCUUCCUCCAAUCUUGAUGCUCUGUUCUUGUUCGUAUCGUCCAGGUUCUCAGGUUAUUUGCUCAGCAAACAGAUUGAAUAGGUAUGGUGAAAGGAUACAACCCUGACGCACACCUUUCCUGACUUUAAACCAAUAAGUAUCCCCUUGUUCUGUCUGAAUAGCUGCCUCUUGAUCUAUGUAAAGGCUCCUCAUGUGCAUAAUUAAGUGUUCUGGAAUACCCACUCUUCCCAAUGUUAUCCAUAAUUUGUUAGGAUCCACACAGUUGAAUACCUUUGCAUAGUCAAUAAAACACAGGUAAACAUCCUUCUGGUAUUCUCUGCUUUCAGCCAGGAUCCAUCUGACAUCAGCAAUAAUAUCCCUGGUUCCACGUCCUGUUCUGAAACCGGCCUGAAUUUCUGGCAGUUCCCUGUCGAUCUACUGCUGCAGCCGUUUUUGAAUGAUCUUCAGCAAAAUUUUGCUUGCGUGUGAUAUUAAUGAUAUUGUUCUAUAAUUUCCGCAUUCGGUUGAAUUACCUUUCUUGGGAAUAGGCAUAAAUAUGGAUCUCUUCCAGUCAGUUGGCCAGGAAGCUGUCUUCCAUAUUUCUUGGCAUAGAUGAAUAAGCACCUCCAGCGCUGCAUCUGUUUGUUGAAACAUCUCAAUUGAUAUUCCACCAAUUCCUGGAGCCUUGUUUUUCACCAAUGCCUUCAGAGCAGCUUGGACUUCUUCCUUCAGUAUCAUUGGUUCCUGAUCAUAUGCCACCUCUUGAAAUGCUUGAACAUCGACUACUUCUUUUUGGUAUAAUGACUCUGUGUAUUUCUUCCAUCUUCUUUUGAUGCUUCCUCCAUCAUUUAAUAUUUUCCCCAUAGAAUCCUUGACUAUUGCAACUGGAGGCUUGAAUUUUUUCUUCAGUUCUUUCAGCUUGAGAAAUGCCAAGCGUGUUCUUACCUUUUGGUUUCUAUCUCCAGCUCUUUGCACGUCGUUAUAAUACUUUACUUUGUCUUCUGGAGCCUCCCUUUGAAAUCUUCUGUUCGGUUCUUUUACUUCAUCAUUUCUUCCUUUUGCUUUAACUGCUCGACCUUUUGUGAGCAAGUUUCAGAGUCUCCUCUGACAUCCAUCUUGGUCUUUUCUUUCUUUCCUGUCUUUUCAGUGACCUCUUGCUUUCUUCAUGGUUGUUGUCCUUGAUGUCAUUCCAGAACUCAUCUGGUCUUCAGUCACCAGUGUUCAGUGGGUCAAAUCUAUUCUUGAUAUGGUCUCUAAAUUCAGGUGGGAUAUACUCAGAGUCGUAUUUUGGCUCUCGUGGACUGGCUCUGAUUUUCUUCAGUUUCAGCUUGAACUUGCAUAUGAGCAAUUGAUGGUCUCUUCCACAGUCGGCCCCUGGCCUUUUUCUUACUGAUGACAUUGAGCUUUUCUAUCGUCUCUUUCCACAGAUGUAGUCCAUUUGAUUCCUGUGUGUUCCAUCUGGCAAGGUCCAUGUGUAUAGUCGCCGUUUAUGUUGGCGAAAGAAGGUAUUUGCAAUGAAGAAGUUGUUGGUGUUGCAAAUCUGACAUUUGAUCUCCAGCAUUGUUUCUAUCACCAAUGUCAUAUUUUCCAACUACUGAUCCUUCUUUGUUUCCAACUUUCUCAUUCCAAUCACCAUUAAUUAUUAAUGCAUCUUGAUUGCAUGUUCAAUCAAUUUCAGACUGCAGCAGCUGAUAAAAAUCUUCUAUUUCUUCAUCUUUGGCCCUAGUGGUUGGUGCAUAAAUUUGAAUAAUAGCUGUAUUAGCUGGUCUUCCUUGUAGGCGUAUGGAUAUUAUCCUAUCACUGACAGGGUUGUACUUCAGGAUCGAUCUUGAAAUGUUCUUUUUGACGAUGAAUGCAACACCAUUGCUCUUCAAGUUGUUAUUCCCGGCAUAGUAGACUAUAUGAUUGUCUGAUUUAAAAUGGCCAAUACCAGUCCAUUUCAGCUCACUAAUGCCCAGGAUAUCAAUGUUUAUGGGUUCCAUUUCAUUUUUGACGAUUCUCAAUUUUCCUAGAUUCAUGCUUCAUACAUUCAACUUUCCAAUUAUUAACGGUUGUUUGCAGCUGUUUCUUCUCAUUUUGAGUCAUGCCACAUCAGCAAAUGAAGUUCCUGAAAACUUUACUCCCUCCAUGUCAUUAAGGUCGACUCUACUUUGAGGAGGCAGCUCUUUCCCAGUCAUCUUUUGAGUGCCUUCCAACGUGGUGGGCUCAUCUUCCAGCACUAUAUCAGACAAUGUUCCGCUGCUAUUCAUGAGGUUUUCACUGGCUAAUGCUUUUCAGAACUAGACUGCCAGAUCCUUCUUCCUAGUCUGUCUUAGUCUGGAAGCUUAGUCCAGCAAAUACUUAACCUAAAAUGGUGAACAUUUAACGCUGAAUCCAGCUAACUCAACCUGUGCAAGUUCCAUCAGUAUAUGUGAGGAAGCAGUGUACAACCCACACGUGGUCAAAAUCUUAAAUGACUUAAAAGACACAGUGAAAAGUCAAGGAAAAUAGCCAACCCAAAGCAGUCUAUUUAUUAACCAAGAAGCCCUUCCUGAGGUCCCGGGGCACCAUGGGGAGGCUGGAUAAGCCCCAGGCAGAGUCUUAAGGGAGGCCCAACCAAGGUGGGCUUCCCAACCCAGAUAGCCGAGGCCCCCUUUCCAGAGCCGUGGACCGGACAUCCAAAUGCCAGAGGUGGUUUUUCUAACUUCUCCAACCGUAAGCUCAGCUCACCUUCACAUUUUUUUUUUUACUAAGCAGAAUAUUAAGUUCAUAUGCUUUGGUUCUUAUUUUUGUUUAACAUUUAUAGUACAAUCCAGAGACAUUAAUGACAUUCACUAUGUUCUGUGACCAUGACCACUCUCCAUCUCCAGAGGUGUGUUGUCACCACAAAUGGAACCCAGUGCCCCUUCAGGCACCACUCCUCAUUUCUCCCGCCCCUCAGCCCCUGGCCACCACUCAUACAUUCUGAUCUCUAUGCAUUUGCCUAAGGAGCCCUGGUGGCACAGUGGUUAAGUGCUCGGCUGCUCACCCAAAGGUUGUCAUUUCAAACCCACCAGCUGGUCUGCUGGAGAAACGACCUGGGGAUGUGCUCCCAUAAAGCUUACACCCUAGAAAACCUGGGGGCAGGUCUACUGUGUCCCAUGGGGUCAGAAUGAGCUGGACUCAACUGAAGGCAUCUAGUGACAACAACAAUGCAUUUCCCUCGUUCAGACAUGCCAUAUAAGUGGGAUGAUAUAGUAUUUGUCCUUUUGAAUCUGACUUAUUUCACUUAGCAUGUUUCAAGGUUCAUCAUAUUGUGGCAUGUAUCAGGAAUUCAUUUCUCUUUAUAGAUAUGUAAUAUUCCAUUGUCUGGAUAGACUAUAUUUUGUCUAUCCAUUCAUUUGUUGGUGGACACUUGGGUUGUUGCCUCCGUUUGACUCGUGUGAAUAAUACUGCAAUGAACAUUCAUGUAGAGGUAUCUGAGUCCCUGAUUUCAUGUCCUCUGGUUCUAUAGCCAGGAGUGGAAUUUCUGGGUCAUAUGGUGACCAGUAAUCUUGGUUGCUUUCUAAGAGAUUCCUGAAUUUCAAGCAAAAAGUGGGCACCAUUUGGCUCUGGGAAGCUUUGAGCAUUUUUUUUAUUUUAAU